CUGGAGACUUAAUUUCUUUUUUUUUUUUCUUUUAUGGAGAGUAUUUAUAUUAAUAUUUUGGUAAUGAGUAGUUGUCACGACCCAACCUAUGGGCCGGACCGGCACUAGGACCUGGGCCAGCCUAAAGCCCCCGAGGCCCGUAGUAAGCCUUAACUAUUCAUUAACCCAACUCUAAGGCCCAUUUGGGCCCAAUUUCAAGAAAAACAAACGGACAGAGUCCGGCCAUAAAAUGGACUUUCCAACGGGGAGUUUUUGACUCACCCGACCUGUAAACACAAUAAAUACUCAAUUGGGGAGCUCAGCUCAC
rnacentral:misc_RNA from 1 species